UACAAACCAAAAUUCCUAUGGACAGCAUCUCAUAUAAGAGGAGCCAAGAUCAAGUCAGACAAAAGUUUCUCCAGCAGGAGUGAGAGAAUUUGAUGAAAUAGGAAAUGACAAUGGUCUUCAUACUUCGCAAGAAAGGGGUUUGUCUUUAGAAGUGGGAACCAGAGAAAUUGAUGGGCAAGCUCCUGAUGGAAACGAAAAUGCAGAUGGAAAUGAUUUGGGUACUACUAGUAGCAUUCCCCUUGAAGAUGCGUGUGAACUUAUAAGUGAAGCCUCCGUUGAAGUCCCAAUUGUGGAUGAAACGAAUGGUUUUGGGAAUGUAUCACAAACAAGUCCCGUUGUGCAUUAUGAGUUGUCGCAAGAGCCAACUCAACCUUACAUAGAUAAGGUAGCCCAGAAGGCUGAUGGCAAGGCGGUCAAAAAAGAAGCUAAGAAACCAGGUAAAUACAACCGGAGAGGCCGGGGAAGGGGUAAAUAGUGUUUCUCUUCAGGCAUUGCUGCUUGAGUUGUACACUAGCCUAAAUUUAGGUAUUCCACUUAGGUCUGUUGUAGAAUCAAGGGUGCUAAUGUUAGGCAGAAAGAAGUGUACUAUUUAGUGUUUAAGCAAUUGCAGGUUCAGUGUUGUAUUAGUCAUAUUUAUUUUGAUUUAAAUAUGGGAAAAUUUAUUUUGAUUUAAAUAUGGGAAAAACUUUUGCUCU